AUUUGUUGUGAUCUGGUACCGGAAGUCUUGGGAUUGAAAGCGACAGUUGGGCGGGGUUUUUGAGAGAGAGAGAGAGAGAGAGAGAGAGAGAAGCUGCUGCAGAGAGAAGAGCUAGAGGAUAGACAAAGGGAUCCGGUGUUACACGUAUACAGUAGAGCUGGAUUCCUGGAAACAUCUGAGCUCCAGUCUCCAUACAGCAUGGUGUCUUCUAGGUGAACUGACUUUACCUGGCUGAACAUGAGGGACAUGUAUUGUUAAUAUGAAAUAGACAGGAAACGGCAGCUACAGGAACAUCCCUUCAUCUCACACAGUUGUGCAAGACACAGCAAGUUUCAGGAUGAAUGGGUUGUGAAGAGCCAGAGACAGGACAGCCAUGGUAAACAGGGAACUGGACUUCUUGCAGCUCUCACACACAUGGUUUGACAGUUGUUGUACAUAGUGAAGUGUCUCUGUAGUGGCCUGCUUGAUGUGGUCAGUUUGGGAUGAAAUGCAUUGGACCCAAGUGGAGCAGUGGUCAUUACUUCCCUGGGAUGACCCAUUGUCAUGACAGUAACUGGACUGCUUGCAGCUCCAGUCUCCAUACAACAUGGUGUCUUAUAGGUGAACUGACUUUACCUGGCUGAACAUGGGGGACAUGUAUUUUAUAAGAAGCAGACAUAAAAAAGCAGCAACAGAAACAUCUUCAUCUCACCCAGUUGUGCAAGACACGGGAUGUGGCAAGUUUUAGGAUGAAUGAACAGCCAGAGACAGGACAGCCAUUGUAAACAGGAAAUACAGUUCUGGAAUUGUAUGAAGAGCUGCUGGCAGACCAAGAGGUCAAUUUUAUACUGAGUGAGAGAGAGUGCUGCCAGAACCACCCAGAACAAGACUUCCAAACACAGCAGAUCCUGUGGAGCCAGUUAUAUGGAACAGUACAAUUACACAACAAAUGUGGGUUCCAGGUAACAC
rnacentral:lncRNA from 1 species